UGCAUGGUGGCGUAGUUGGUAGCACUGUUGCCUUGCAGCAAGAAGGUGAAGGUCCUGGGUUCGACUCCUGGCCUGGGGUCUAUCUGCAU